UCCACGCUGUAAACGAUGUCGAUUUGGAGGUUGUUCCCAUGAGGAGUGGCUUCCGGAGCUAACGCGUUAAAUCGACCGCUGGGGAGUACGGCCGCAAGGUUAAAACUCAAAUGAAUUGACGGGGGCCCGCACAGCGGUGGAGCAUGUGGUUUAAUUCGAUGCAACGCGAAGAACCUUACCUACUCUUGACAUCCAGAGAAUUUAGCAGAGAUGCUUUAGUGCCUUCGGGAACUCUGAGACAGGUGCUGCAUGGCUGUCGUCAGCUCGUGUUGUGAAAUGUUGGGUUAAGUCCCGCAACGAGCGCAACCCUUAUCCUUUGUUGCCAGCACAUUAUGGUGGGAACUCAAAGGAGACUGCCGGUGAUAAACCGGAGGAAGGUGGGGAUGACGUCAAGUCAUCAUGGCCCUUACGAGUAGGGCUACACACGUGCUACAAUGGCGUAUACAAAGAGAAGCGACCUCGCGAGAGCAAGCGGAACUCAUAAAGUACGUCGUAGUCCGGAUUGGAGUCUGCAACUCGACUCCAUGAAGUCGGAAUCGCUAGUAAUCGUAGAUCAGAAUGCUACGGUGAAUACGUUCCCGGGCCUUGUACACACCGCCCGUCACACCAUGGGAGUGGGUUGCAAAAGAAGUAGGUAGCUUAACCUUCGGGAGGGCGCUUACCACUUUGUGAUUCAUGACUGGGGUGAAGUCGUAACAAGGUAACCA
rnacentral:rRNA from 1 species